AUUGAACGCUGGCGGCAUGCCUUACACAUGCAAGUCGAACGGUAACGGGCCUUCGGGUGCCGACGAGUGGCGAACGGGUGAGUAAUACAUCGGAACGUGCCCGAUCGUGGGGGAUAACGAGGCGAAAGCUUUGCUAAUACCGCAUACGAUCUACGGAUGAAAGCAGGGGACCGCAAGGCCUUGCGCGGACGGAGCGGCCGAUGGCAGAUUAGGUAGUUGGUGGGAUAAAAGCUUACCAAGCCGACGAUCUGUAGCUGGUCUGAGAGGAUGAUCAGCCACACUGGGACUGAGACACGGCCCAGACUCCUACGGGAGGCAGCAGUGGGGAAUUUUGGACAAUGGGCGCAAGCCUGAUCCAGCCAUGCCGCGUGCAGGAUGAAGGCCUUCGGGUUUUAAACUGCUUUUGUACGGAACGAAAAGCCUUCUUUUAAUACAGGAGGGUCAUGACGGUACCGUAAGAAUAAGCACCGGCUAACUACGUG
rnacentral:rRNA from 1 species